ACACAGCAAACCCUCAACGUUUCUGCUCAACUGAGCAAUUUGCUGAUUUCUUAACUGCAAGAAUUGAAACCCCAGUGGAGCUUGAGCUCUGCAGCUCUUCAGGCAGACAUUCAGAGGAGCUCCUGCACAAACACAGAUCCAUCAGGCGGCGACUGCAGGAGAGAUAAAUGAAGAGCACGGAGGAUUCAGAGGGAUGCCGGAGAGCUGCGCGAAGGCACGAAAUCCAUUCUCACCCAGGAAACCUUUUACAGCAGAUAAAGCUUUGACCUGCUGUCAGAUCAGGCUCUAAGAAUAACGCUGUGCUGUUUCAUCAGUCAGCAGCAACUCUGUCAAGGAGCUGACGCCGACUGGCUUGGCAGCUACGCUGCCGAGGCAGACGUCAUGAAACGGGCGGUACCCCCAAAGAGCGAAAGGCGGAGCCUCAGAGAUCGAGUCGUCUUACUUCCUGGAAACACUGCCAUGGCGGAUGGUCCAGACCGCAUCCCACCUUUGCCCUUCAGUAACUGGGAUAGGCUCCAGCAUCGCUUUGAUCCUGAAUAACAACAACAACAACAAGAAAAAAAGGAGACAAAAACCCGCCUGACCUGUGGUUCUCGUCUGGGGUUUGUUCCUGAUUCGCUUGAGGCAAAGACUUGCAGAAAAGCCUCGGGCAGAGCAGAGCCGUCCCACGCUGUCAGAGGCGGGAGACAUGCCGGCGUCUGUCCGCAGAAUGGCGGGAAAUUCCCCCACCACUCUCUGCUGCAAGAAAUAAAACACAACAGGUGGAUACGGGCCGUCUGCGGAUGAAAAGACGAAAUAUCAAAGCACAACAAAGGAACAUUCCAACCUUCAUGAUGUCCACAGAAGUGGAACGAUCCUCAAGAACCUGCACCCCCACUGAAGCCCCAAUCCAAAUCUCCCACUCCCAUCCUCUUCUGAUCUAUUCUCAAAGCGUUCCCGUUGGUCUUUUAAUGACGACGAUACAGUUUUUAGCCAAAAUCCCCAAAAACCUGAACUGUUUUCUAGGACUUAGUUUCUGCAGAGCGGCAGGAGUCACCUUUGAGUCGUGGGCGGGACCGUUGGUGCGGAGCAACCCUGUCUCCAUUCUCCUCCCCGUUGCUGAGAGCUCUCUGUUUACACUCCCCACCGCACACGGAUCCAUUUAUCUGCGUUAGAAUGGGGGCGGAGUUUGUGGCAUAUUUUCAACGUCGUGAAUCUUUUAUAAAAAAAUCAUUUUUUAAUCUUUAUGCAUUUUUUCAUUCCUGAACUUUUCCUGCUUAACUGCAGAUUUUCAGUUUCCCUCAAAUCCAAAGAACCUAAAAUAAAGUAGAGGAUUCUUGUCCUGGGAGCUUCUUCUGAUAAAAAACAUUCCUUUAUUUGAACACUUUUGUUAAUAUUAACUUCAAAAUGAGUUUUUUAAAAAUUAUUAUUCAUGUAUUUUUUUCACCCUUUGAUUUUUCUUCUUCUUUUUUUAAACAUUUCAUCACAGCAUCAAGUGGAAUUUUCUCUGGAUCUGUUUGGAGAAGGGAGGCAGAGAACAAACUGCAAAUACUGAAAAUAUAUCAAAGUUGGUUGUUGGAUCGCCGUUUAUGAUCAGUGGAACAAAUUCUCAUCCUGGGUGUUUUACUGCUGUUGUUCUUCUUGUUUGUCAGUGUGAGCAUCGCACGUCUGCAUCAUGCUGGCGGUAAAUUAUGGGAUGGGUCUGAACUGCACGGAGCGUUGUGACGUCUUCAUACCUGUCUGCUCUCCAGAAAACAACAACAACCACCACCGACAAUCAAGCGACGAGUCUAAUUAGAGCCGCAAAGUGCAAACAAUGGCGCCAAGAGGCUCCUGGUAUUCAGCCAGCUGAUUCCUCCAGCUGUCUGUCAUCUCUGCUGCCAUGACGACACAUCAGAACGCAGAGCGGACAUCUGAGAGACGAAGACGUGUCCUGAACGUUCCAGCGGGCAAAGGUGACGACCAAUUAAAUGUUUGGAAAUGACUGGAAGUUUCUGCCUCAACGUGACCAACAGUGACCCCCCCCCCGUGAGAUUUCUGAAUCUGAAUCUCUGACCGUCACAAACAUCAGAGGAACAUUUUCCUGCAAAACAAAGAGAACUUUUCCUCUUAGCUGUUUUGUUUUUGUCCACAUUACAAGUGUUGGAUCGCACAUCUUUGUGUGUGUUUCUGUGUGUGUUCAUGUGUGUGUGUGUGCGCUCCAGCUCCCCUGCUGACAGCGUGUGGGUGAAACAUGGCAGUUGUGCAUAUUGUCUGUUAUGUCACACAGACACACACUAUCGCACAUAUUCGCCUUGCACUGUCAAUGCCCGGCUAUCUUGUGUGAACAGGUCGCCAGCGCCGCCGCAGCGCUGUGUCAUGCUCGGUCGCCUUGGAGACGCCUCCAGAUCAUCAUUUAGCACGGACGGGGUGAAGAGGGUUCCUGCGCGUGUCCCGCUCGGGUUUUGGUUAAAUGAGAGCGCGGCUUUGGAGUGUAAAUUGGAGGUUAUCCGGUGGACGUUCUCUUAACUCUUCUCUUGGCUCUAACAAUGUGUGAAUUUGCUUUUUUGUGAGAACUUUUCCUCCUCAUUAGUUGGUGAGUCUGUGUUCAGGAUGCAAUUGAAGACCAUUCAUUGUCAAGCACCAACAUUAAAAGACAAAAUAGGGAAAA